GCCCCAGUGGUGUAGUGGUAGUAGCACGCGUCCCCGAUAUGGAUAGAACGAGAGUUCGAAUUCCGCAUGCGGCG